CUGUUAGUGAAAAAUCAGAUUAUGACAUAGGUGUCUAGUUCCAUUCUUCAAGACGCUCAUCAGGCCUAAAGUUUAAAGUAAUUGCCACAAAGAAACAAUGG